rnacentral:lncRNA from 1 species
GACAUUUCACCUCUUUUUUCUCCUCUGCGGCGGCGGCGGCGGGCGAUAGGGAGACGGGACCGGCCACCUUCGCCGGAGCUUGACCUCUUCGGCCUGACGUGCGAGGUAACUCUCUUUUGACCUCUCCGUUGGUCCCCAGGAGCACAACUCUCUCAAUUCCGUCUCACCACCGCACUAACAGAUGGAGGCAGAUGCGGACGCGGACGCGAACCCGGAGCAUGCCGUGCUACCCCAAGGCCACGAGGACUCAUGGAUUACAUUUGUAAGUUGACUUAGCCUGUGCAGAUUCGUUACUAGGAUUAGGCUAGAGAGGUACAGUAGUAAUCAACUGAAUCCUUGUGCAGCUCAGGGUCGCGGACUUUUUCAUGACUAGCAAAUAGGCCCGUGCGUUGCCACGGGAGAAAAAUAAAUCAGAUUAUGCAAAUUAUGCAAGGAUGAGAUACAGACUUUUAAAAUAUCACUUCAUAAAGUACAUCAAAAUCAUGUCAUGAUGAGAUAAGAG